rnacentral:rRNA from 1 species
GAUGAACGCUGGCGGCGUGCUUAAUACAUGCAAGUCGAGCGAAGCACUUUGACGGAAUUCUUCGGAAGGAAGGUAAAGUGACUGAGCGGGCGGACGGGUGAGUAACGCGUGGGUAACCUGCCUUAUACAGGGGGAUAACAGUUAGAAAUGGCUGCUAAUACCGCAUAAGACCACAGCACCGCAUGGUGCAGGGGGUAAAAACUCCGGUGGUAUGAGAUGGACCCGCGUCUGAUUAGCUAGUUGGUAAGGUAACGGCUUACCAAGGCGACGAUCAGUAGCCGACCUGAGAGGGUGACCGGCCACAUUGGGACUGAGACACGGCCCAA